CUCAAUGUUUAAAAAUCAUCGUGCUUGUUGUUACAGCUUACUGCCGUUCUUUUGCUCACUGCUCUUCUUUAUGCAUUUUGGUUCGUUUGGGAAAUGCAUUUCUAAUAGGCUGCUCCAGCCAACAGGUGGGUUUAUUUGCAAAAGCUCCCCUAUAGACCUAUAUCCUACUUCUCUUCCUUUUUUAUUUAUUUAUUUAUUUUUUCAUCCUGGUGCUCUGGGUUGCUUGCGUUAGUGAGUUCUGCCUCGGAAACACGCUGAGAGAAAUGGACUUAGCAUAACGCAUUCAAAACGGGGCUUAAGGAUCUUGCAGAAAAGUGAACCGCGCGUGAUUUCAUUCCCAGGUCACGUUAAGUGCAAUUACAUUUAUGCGGCUCUGAAUCAGUUUCCUUAAAUAUCUCGGCUAUAUAUUUAACUUCCCAAUGAAAUGGCUUAUGCUGUAAAUAUUGAGGCCAUCCGGUGUGAUUAAAUAUUAAAAAUGACAUUUAAAGAAAGCCCCAGCUGCUGCGCGAGCUGAGCUCGCCUGGCUUUUGGCAAAGUGCAAGCUGAGAGCCGAGCUCCGCGUCUGGCCACUGGUGCUUGUUUUGGGGGGAAAAAGCGAGAAAUCCUCCAGGAAAUCCCACCCAGGGACUGGGGGUGGGCAGCAGAGGACGAGAGCAACAGGUCCUGAGCUCGGAUGGCUUCUCACUUCUGCCUGGCCCAGCCAGCACCUGGCCAAACCUGCCCAGCGUCGCAGAGAAGGAAUAGAGAAGCCGGUCCUGAGAGCAGUCCCGGGGAGGGAAGGGAGCUUUACAGGGAAACCUUAAGCCAGCAUUCUUGGUCCAGGUGUUGCAAGAGUGCACAGCCAUCAUCUGCCUUAAGUGGAAGCCGUCCUCGCAGGCCGCCUGCUGCAAGCCAGCCGCCGACCGCCUCUGCUCCUGGCGACCCGAAGAGACCCGUGGCAGCUGCCGCUGUCACACCAGCCACGUACCGAUGGUGCACAUACCCGACGCAGCCGAAAUGCUGA
rnacentral:lncRNA from 1 species